rnacentral:sRNA from 1 species
CCGGUGUAUUGCCUCUGCCGGCUGCCUUACGAUGUGACCCGCUUCAUGAUCGAGUGUGACAUGUGCCAGGACUGGUUUCAUGGCAGUGAGACCUGCUUGUUGUAGAAAACACAGAAAAAGAAUAAAGAAAGAAAUAAAACUCACCUUGAGUCUACUACAGCCUGGCACAAUCCACUGUUAAAUUUGUUGUUGCAUUAACUCCCAUCUUUUGACUUAGAAUAUAAACAUGUAUUUUUACAAGAUGGGAUUGUGUUAUAAAUACCAUUUUACAACCUAUUUUUUAUUUCUAGUUAAUGUUACAAUGUAAUUGCCAGUUCAUUAAAUAUUCAGCUAAACUUGAUUUCUGAUAUCCCACAAUAUAUAUGUGUCACCAGUUAAUUUGGUAAUUUCUUUUAUGGUUGGACAUUGUACUUUUUUGAACAUUAUUUGUACUUUUUUAUAUUAUAAAUAAUGUGAGGAAACUUUGGACGUUCUGGAAAGGUUUUGCAUCUUGAUAUGAGUGCUGAUUAAAACAGAAAAACAUUAUGGAAAGCA